rnacentral:rRNA from 1 species
ACGGUCCAGACUCCCACGGGAGGCAGCAGUGGGGAAUUUUGGACAAUGGGGGCAACCCUGAUCCAGCAAUGCCGCGUGAGUGAAGAAGGCCUUCGGGUUGUAAAGCUCUUUUGUCAGGGAAGAAACGGUAUGGGCUAAUAUCCCGUACUAAUGACGGUACCUGAAGAAUAAGCACCGGCUAACUACGUGCCAGCAGCCGCGGUAAUACGUAGGGUGCAAGCGUUAAUCGGAAUUACUGGGCGUAAAGCGUGCGCAGGCGGUUUUGUAAGUCUGUCGUGAAAUCCCCGGGCUCAACCUGGGAAUUGCGAUGGAGACUGCAAGGCUAGAAUCUGGCAGAGGGGGGUAGAAUUCCGCGUGUAGCAGUGAAAUGCGUAGAUAUGUGGAGGAACACCGAUGGCGAAGGCAGCCCCCUGGGAUAACACUGACGCUCAUGCACGAAAGCGUGGGGAGCAAACAGGAUUAGAUACCCUGGUAGUCCACGCCCUAAACGAUGUCUACUAGUUGUCGGGUCUUAAUUGACUUGGUAACGCAGCUAACGCGUGAAGUAGACCGCCUGGGGAGUACGGUCGCAAGAUUAAAACUCAAAGGAAUUGACGGAAG